rnacentral:hammerhead_ribozyme from 1 species
GUACUGAUGAAGAGUUCAAAGGACUAGGACGAAACAGCUGUCUAGUAC